GCACGUGACAUAAAUACCGAAAUGGCACCGCUAACUCAAAUGAGAGCCCAUAAAAUUUGCAGAAAGCCCAAAGAAGCAAAAUCCACAACAGAAGAAAACCUUCUUCCAAGCCCGCAACCAUCGCAAGCCUAUUGGAUCUAUUAACCGGUUCACUGACCCGUCCGACUCAACGCAUUUACAAGUCGAUGGAUCCACGCCCACCGUCUGGGCGCCGCUUGAAACUUUCCCGAGAAAAUCAAGGAAAGAAAGCGAGAGAAAGAGAGGGAAAAUGGCAGGGAAUACUUGGGCCUACGUCCGGAUCAUCUCCGGCACCAUUCUCGGUGGCAUUCUCGGCUUCUACGUCAUGGACCGCGCCGAGAAAAGCUACAAGGAGAAAGUGCGGGAGAGGCUGAGAAAGUAUGAAAUUGAAAUGAAGAAGAGAGAGAAAUUGGACGAGGUUGAAGAGUCUCUGUAGAUUUUUUUGAAAGGAGUGCUAUAUUCAUCGAAGAUUGAAAUACGUACAACCUGAGGAUAAGGUGAUUAGCUUCGCUGUUUUUGUUCUUUUUAAUUUUUGCUCCUGUUUUUUGUUGAGAAAUUGAAAAUUUUGAACCACAUUUUUAAGAGUUGGUGUUACGUUUGUAUGAGAAAUUUUUUGUUUUGUGUC